rnacentral:rRNA from 1 species
AACGGGGGUUCCAUUAACAUGCACGUCGGACGGUUGGGGUCUUCGGACGCUGACGAGUGGCGAACGGUCAUAGAAAUAGAGCGGAACGUGCCCAGUCGUGGGGGAUAACUUCUCGAAAGAGUAACUGAUACCGCCUACGAUCUGAGGAUGAAAGCGGGGGACCUUCGGGCCUCGCGCGAUUGGAGCGGCCGAUGGCAGAUUAGGUAGUUGGUGGGAUAAAAUCUUACCAAGCCGACGAUCUGUAGCUGGUCUGAGAGGACGACCAGCCACCCUGGGACUGAGACACGGCCCAGACUCCUACCGGAGGCAGCCGUGGGGAAUUUUGGACAAUGGGCGAAAGCCUGAUCCAGCUUUCCCCCGUGCAGGAUGAAGGCCUUCGGGUUGUAAACUGCUUUUGUACGGAACGAAAAAGCUUCUCCUAAUACGAGAGGCCCAUGACGGUACCGUACGAAUACCCACCGGCUAUCUUCGUGCCAACGGCCCCGGUAAUACGUAGGGUGCCAGCGUUAAUCGGAAUUACUGGGCGUAAAGCGUGCGCAGGCGGUUAUGUAAGACAGAUGUUGAAAUCCCCGGGCUCAACCUGGGAACUGCAUUUUGUGACUGCAUGGCUAGAGUACGGGAGAGGGGGAUGAGAAUUCCGCGUGUGGCAGUGAAAUGCGUAGAUAUGCGGAGGAACACCGAUGGCUAAUGCAAUCCCCUGGACCUUUACUGUCGCUCAUGCCGGAAUGCUCGCCGAGCAAACCGGGAUCAGAUAUCCUGGUAGUCCCCGCCCUAAACGAUGCCAGCUAGGUUUGUUGGGGAAUUACUUUUCUCAUUAACGAACCUAAUGCGUGAAGAUGGACCGCCUGGGGGAGGACGGCCUCAACGGUGAAACUCAAGGAUUUGUAUGGGAACCGCACCGGCUGGGGAUGAAGGUGUUUCU